rnacentral:rRNA from 1 species
GCAAAACGCGAAGAACCUUACCCACCUUUGACAUGUACAGAAUCCUUUAGAGAUAGAGGAGUGCUCGAAAGAGAGCCGUAACACAGGUGCUGCAUGGCUGUCGUCAGCUCGUGUCGUGAGAUGUUGGGUUAAGUCCCGCAACGAGCGCAACCCUUGCCAUUAGUUGCUACGAAAGGGCACUCUAAUGGGACUGCCGGUGACAAACCGGAGGAAGGUGGGGAUGACGUCAAGUCCUCAUGGCCCUUAUAGGUGGGGCUACACACGUCAUACAAUGGCUGGUACAAAGGGUUGCCAACCCGCGAGGGGGAGCUAAUCCCAUAAAGCCAGUCGUAGUCCGGAUCGCAGUCUGCAACUCGACUGCGUGAAGUCGGAAUCGCUAGUAAUCGUGGAUCAGAAUGUCACGGUGAAUACGUUCCCGGGUCUUGUACACACCG